UGUUACCAUUGUUUAACUGUGUGCAAGGUGCUUCUAGCUGACGACGAUACCACUAGGCCUAGUGGUCAUUGUCAGUGUAACAGUGAAGCAGUGUCGUACAAAAACCAGUUAACUAGAUAUAGUGUGAAUCUCUUAUUGAAAAAUUCAUUGGCAUUGAGUGAUAAUUGUUCAGAAUUGGACGCUUGCUAAUAUUUAUCGGCGAGUAUUGAAAAUAAGCGUGAUUCAGUUACCCCAUGAGAUAUCUCUUACUGGGAGAACCGAGUGGGCAAUUGUCUGUGAUUCCUUCAUGAACACCAGUUUAAAACUUAAUUAACCGCUACGAAAAGAAGUUUCCAGCUGUGAAAACACUUCAGAAUGAAGGCCUUGAGCAGAACUAUCUCAAAUUUUUCAUUUUUAUGAUGCUUACAUGACUAUUUUUCUUACGAAAGAUUAGCCAUCUCGUCUCUCUUACAACGUAGGCCUACAAUUAAGCAGACGUUUAUUAAAGGAUUUAUGAGUAACAAUACAUACAACAUGACAAAGUUUUCCGACUGCGUCAAGAUAGUGGGCUUCCUUUGUGUGAGCCUACUGUUCAUGGUGAAUGUCUCGUAUGUGUCGCUGAAUCCUAAAUCUACAUUUUGGUUUACACCCAUCAUAUCCUUCAGUUUUAUGGUGUUGCUAUGUCCCCGAAUUUCGCGGGACCCUAGAGACUACGAUAGACAGCAACACGAAGAAAUAACUCGAUACGGAACGAUCUCCAAGAUCGAUCGACCGCCAUCAUACUCUUCCAUCGCCGUCGAAGCUGAGGUCAUCGACAAGUUCCCUCAUCCGGACGAGAGAUCCGGAGAGGUCGUCGUAUCAAAGGAGAGAGAUCAGGAUGUGUCUCAAGAUGGGUUGCCAACGUUCGAGGAAGCGAUGCUGAGAGAAGUGGUUUGACAACCGAUGAAUAAAUUAAAGGAAUAGAGAGUAUAUAUGGUAAAAAAAAAAAAGUCGAGGAAGCCAUGUUGAAAGAAAUGGCUUGAAAAUCGGUAAAUAAUAGACUGGAAUAGAAAGUGUUUACGGUGGAAUAAAACUGAAGAGUUAUGGUACUAUCAUGUGACAACUCUACACAUCGCGCUUCCACAGACCACGAUUCCCACACGUUCGAAAAAGGAAGAAGAUUUAAGUAACAAAAAUUAAUAUACAUUCAAUUACAAUACAUAGAUCUGAAUGUAUAUAAUCAAUAGCACUAAAUGGCACUGAUUUCUGGCAUCAAAUUGGGCCAUUUCUCUUAUCAAUUGUACCUGUCCCAUCAUCUGCAAGCUAGGCCUAUAUAUCUUUUCUAGAUGGAUUUGUCGAUGUCACCGGCAUUUUUUUUAUUUACUUUUUCUUAUGUUGGGGACCACAGCUGUUCUGAGACCUGCCAAUUAUUGAUGCUUCUGUGACAUUUUUUCUUAUCCAUGCUAAGGUUUUGAAGCAAACGUUGACGCAUGCUAAAAUCAAUUGAAACAGUUACAUAAAAGGUGAAAAAUUUAGUAGGAAACUUUUCUGAAUUGUCAAAAACAGGCGACAGAUUUUCUGUUUACAUAUUGCUGUUAAAUGAAUGAUAACAAAAUGUAUUUCUGUCACUCCCUCGGACGCACGAGAAUUUAUGCAUGCAACUAUUAUGAAAUAAAUAAAGUGUGAGAGUAUAAAAUAAAUCAGAUCGAAAUAUGAAGCAUCAAACCAAUUGUCCUUUAUUGAAAAUGGCUCAAAAACUUUGAGAUACAAUAUUUUUUUAUUUAUCUCAAAGCUGCCAUGAAAUUGCAUUAAAUAAAGCAUAAAAAGAACAUGAUAAAAAUUUAAAAAAAUGUGUUUUCUCGAACAUGAAACUUUUAUAUUGGAAAAACUAUAUAAUAAAGAAUUCUGGAAAU